GUCGGUUCGAUAUUUCCACCGCCGACCCUCAACCGAGGGCGUCGGACGUCGCGAUUCGUUCGCCGUCGAUACCGAAAGUGCGCGCCUCAAGCUCGUUGUCGCGGACGUUUCGGCGUUCGCGCGACGAUGGCGCGUUUCUCACGUUUCGACGCGGACGGUACGUUUGCGCGCGGGUAUUCGAGGCGGUCCCUCGUCCGGCGUCUCGUACGUCGGACGGCACUCGCCUCGACGCCGGUCAGCGACGAAUCUUCGGGCCUCUUUCCGACCCGUCUUGAAACACGGACCAAGGAGUCUAGGGUGCGCGCGAGUCGCGGGGUAUCCGAGGAGUAAUGACCCUCGUCAAGAUACGAAACCCGUUCACGUACAUUGUACGAAGGCGUAAUGAAAGUGAAAGAGGGCGCCUCGCGCGUCCUCGGGGGAAGACGGUGCGCUGCGAAAUACGUUUCGCGAUCGUAUAUGUAUCGCGACCAGCCGCCCGCAUUCCCAGGGCGUCCCGCCUGUGCGACGGCGAUCGGGGCUCGCUCCGGUCGUCGACGAACUGGGGCGCACCUAUAGCGUGCACCCUGGU
rnacentral:rRNA from 1 species